GCGGGUAUAGCUUAGUGGUAAAGCUCCAGCCUUCCAAGCUGGCCACGUGAGUUCGAUUCUCACUACCCGCUCCA
rnacentral:tRNA from 1 species